UCCGGUUGAUCCCGCCGGACCUUACUGCUAUCGGGUUGAGACUAAGCCAUGCAAGUCGAGCGUUCUCAAGCUAUGUUGAAAGCGCGGCAUAAGGCUCUGUAACACGUAGUUAACCUACCCUCAGGAUGGAGAUAACCCCUGGGAAACUGGGACUAAUAUCCAAUAAAUGAUUAUGCCUGGAAUGGUUUAUCAUUGAAAGGGCUGAAUACAUGCUUUCAGUAUCACCUGAGGAUGGGACUGCGUCCGAUCAGGUUGUUGGCGGGGUAACGGCCCACCAAGCCUAUAACCGGCACGGGCCCUGAGAGGGGGAGCCCGGAGAUGGAAACUGAGACAAGGUUCCAGGCCCUACGGGGCGCAGCAGGCGCGAAACCUCCACAAUGCGCGAAAGCGUGAUGGGGUUAGCCCGAGUGCUGUCCGAAAAGGAUGGCUUUUCCUUGGCGUAAAAGCCCAGGGGAAUAAAGGGGGGGCAAGACUGGUGUCAGCCGCCGCGGUAAUACCAGCCCCCUGAGUGGUAAGGACGAUUAUUUGGCUUAAAGCGUCCGUAGCCGGCUUAGUGAGUCUCUUGUUAAAUCCAAUGAUUCAAUCAUUGAACUGCAAGAGAUACUACUAUGCUAGAGGACGGGAGAGGUCGACGGUAGUCCAAGGGUAGGGGUGAAAUCCUAUAAUCCUUGGAGGACCACCAGUGGCGAAAGCGGUCGACUAGAACGUGCCUGACGGUGAGGGACGAAAGCUGGGGGAGCGAACCGGAUUAGAUACCCGGGUAGUCCCAGCUGUAAACGAUGCGGGCUAGUGUAGGGGCAGCUACGAGCUGCUCCUGUGCCGCAGAGAAAUUGUUAAGCCCGCCGCCUGGGGAGUACGAUCGCAAGAUUGAAACUUAAAGGAAUUGGCGGGGGAGCACACAAGGGUGAAGGCUGC
rnacentral:rRNA from 1 species